rnacentral:rRNA from 1 species
GACGAACGCUGGCGGCGUGCCUAAUACAUGCAAGUCGAGCGAAGUUUUUCUGGUGCUUGCACUAGAAAAACUUAGCGGCGAACGGGUGAGUAACACGUAAAGAACCUGCCCCAUAGACUGGGACAACUAUUGGAAACGAUAGCUAAUACCGGAUAACAGUAUUUCUCGCAUGAGAGAUAUUUAAAAGUUGGUUAUGCUAACACUAUGAGAUGGCUUUGCGGUGCAUUAGCUAGUUGGUGGGGUAAAGGCCCACCAAGGCGACGAUGCAUAGCCGACCUGAGAGGGUGAUCGGCCACACUGGGACUGAGACACGGCCCAGACUCCUACGGGAGGCAGCAGUAGGGAAUCUUCCGCAAUGGGCGAAAGCCUGACGGAGCAACGCCGCGUGAGUGAAGAAGGAUUUCGGUUCGUAAAGCUCUGUUGUUAGGGAAGAAUGGAUAUGUAGUAACUAUACAUGUAAGAGACGGUACCUAACCAGAAAGCCACGGCUAACUACGUG